AUUGAACGCUGGCGGCAGGCCUAACACAUGCAAGUCGAGCGGAGCGGCGGACGGGUGAGUAAUGCCUAGGAAUCUGCCUGGUAGUGGGGGAUAACGUCCGGAAACGGGAGCUAAUACCGCAUCCUAUCAGUGUAGCCUGGGUCUGAUUAGCUAGUUGGUGGGGUAAAGGCCUACCAAGGCGACGAUCCGUAACUGGUCUGAGAGGAUGAUCAGUCACACUGGAACUGAUACACGGUCCAGACUCCUACGGGAGGCAGCAGGGGGGAAUAUUGGACAAUGGGCGAAAGCCUGCUCCAGCCAUGCCGCGUGUGUGAAGAAGGUCUUCGAAUUGUAAAGCACUUUAAGUUGGGAGGCGUUACCAACAGAAUAAUCACCGGCUAACUUCGUGCCAGCAGCCGCGGUAAUUC
rnacentral:rRNA from 1 species